AAAGGAAUAGACGGGGGCCCGCACAAGCGGAGGAACAUGUGGUUUAAUUCGAUGAUACGCGAGGAACCUUACCCGGGAUUGAAAUGUAUAUGAGCCCUCUGGGAAACCGGAGGGGUCCUCUUCGGAGGCAUAUAUGUAGGUGCUGCAUGGUUGUCGUCAGCUCGUGCCGUGAGGUGUCGGCUUAAGUGCCAUAACGAGCGCAACCCUUAUCGUCAGUUACUAGCAGGUAAAGCUGAGGACUCUGGCGAGACUGCCGUCGUAAGGCGAGAGGAAGGAGGGGAUGACGUCAAAUCAGCACGGCCCUUACAUCCGGGGCGACACACGUGUUACAAUGGUAGGGACAGAGAGCAGCCACUCGGUGACGAGGCGCGGAUCUUAAAACCCUAUCUCAGUUCGGAUCGAAGUCUGCAACUCGACUUCGUGAAGCCGGAUUCGCUAGUAAUCGCGCAUCAGCCAUGGCGCGGUGAAUACGUUCCCGGGCCUUGUACACACCGCCCGU
rnacentral:rRNA from 1 species